rnacentral:lncRNA from 1 species
GCAAGAUAUCCACCUGGAAUCUGAGUAAUGAUAUAGCCAUAGAAAAAAGAACCAAGGAUCCAUCCCUGAGUAUCAGCAUCCCAAGAAUAUUUUUUCCCCGUUGUGUUGCGAGGAACAUUUAUGGUGGAGGAAUGUUCUGGACACACAUUGGAAGUUGUAUUCUUUGCUAAGCUUGUGUUAGGUUCCACCAUGUCCACCAGAGCAACGCUUAGGUUCACACGUAAUGCAUAUAGAAGGAAGAACCCAAAAAAGGCCAGCAGUGCCAGAUUGUAGCGAGCUGAGCAGCAUGCAGGGACCGUGCCGAGCUGGGACUCCUUCAGCAGCGGGGUGCGGUCUUCUCUUUCCUCGGGCUCCAUCUCGCUGCUGCCCGCUCCGUGCAGCGCGCCCAGCGCCAGAUCGCCGGCCGCCACUGCAGAGAGGCCGGACCGCGGCUGACAGCGCCGCAGCCCACCGGCACUGCCCCGCCGUGCCGCGCUGCGCUCUGCCCCGCUGGCGCCGGGCAGCGGCCGCCGCAGCCCGGUGGUCACGUGACGGGCGCUGACGGGCGGAAGGGCCUCAGCCGCAGCUUGGCGCCGCUCCCACUCCGCCCUCUGCCGCCAUCUUUGAAAGGGAUGCUAUUUGUGCUUAACCACUGGCUGCUGGCAGCGUUGGCUGCGGCUGUCUGAGCCGGGCUGGGGAGAUGAGGGACAGCAGUGCUCAGCAGCCCGCAUCUCUUGCCACCUGGAUCUGCAGCGUGAGGAAGAAGAAUUGCAAAGCUUUGAGCUUCUUUUGCUGAAUCUCACCCUGGUGUUUCACGCAUUGAAACUGAAAAGAAGCUGCAGCCUGCCUCACUUCGAGCAGCAGGUGGCUCCCUUUCCUCUGAAGUCUGGCUUGAGGAAGAGACUGGCCUCGUUCAUUCCAGUGCCGGCGCUCAUUCGGCAGUACAGGCAUAUUUCUGCUGUUCUGUCAUAGGAAGUGGACUGUUUUCUUUUAUUGCCUCUUUUAAAUGGUUUAAUGCCAUGUAUAAUAAAUACUGUACUUACCGUGGGUUGCUUAGAAAAUGAAGAUAGGAAAAAGGCCUGGGAAAAAACAUCAGCGGUGCUAACCUGAGUUGCAGCAUUUCUUUAUGGAGCAUUCUAAGAAGUUAUGAACUUUUAUAGGAUAUAUUUAAAAAGUUGUCUGAUUCUGAGUUUUUUGCAUCUUUUAUUGGUCUUUUGUUACUGAUACCCAAGAUCCCCACUUUGAAACCACAUUUUAAAAGAUAAUAAUAAGAAAAGAACAGAGAAAUACAGCUUCGGCUGUAAGAAUCAACUGAUUACUCCUAAAUAACUGAAAGUGACAUAAAAAGAGUUCAAUCUUCACCCAAGCAGACUAAAGAUUGAAAUAUUUACUUUAAAAUUGCCUAACUCUCCUUAUACUCAGUGCAGUGUUGUAUGGUAACUGUUGAGUCACGUCCUGAGCCACUGAUUGAGCACCUGGGGAAAGGACCCGGUCAGCCCUGGGAGCACAGGUGAAGGCAAUUCAGAUGUGUGAC